GCUUACGGCCAUACCACCCUGAGAACGCCCGAUCUCGUCUGAUCUCGGAAGCUACGCAGGGUCGGGCCUGGUUAGUACUUGGAUGGGAUUCCGCCUGGGAAUACCAGGUGCUGUAAGCU
ensembl:rRNA 5S_rRNA 5S ribosomal RNA